UACGGAGGGUGCAAACGUUGCUCGGAAUCAUUGGGCGUAAAGCGCACGUAGGCGGUCUCGAAAGUCGGGUGUGAAAUCCCUAGGCUUAACCAAGGAAGUGCACUCGAAACUUCGAGACUUGAGUACUGGAGAGGAUCGCGGAAUUCUCGGUGUAGAGGUGAAAUUCGUAGAUAUCGGGAGGAACACCAGUGGCGAAGGCGGCGAUCUGGUCAGAUACUGACGCUGAGGUGCGAAAGCGUGGGGAGCAAACAGG
rnacentral:rRNA from 1 species